rnacentral:misc_RNA from 1 species
AUUUUCGAAACUUUUCUCAAAGCUUCCAUAGAAACGAACGUAGAAACGAGCUAAAAAAAUGAAUUUUGCAGAUAUAAAUAACUUGAUGCCUAUUUUUUAUCUCUAAUCUGCAAAUAAUAUCGUGAUUAAUUUUUUAACUUCGUUCAUUCAUUUGAUAACAACAAAAUAGUUUUUAACCAAAGAUGAUGUAGAGAAAAAAACCCGAAAUAUUUCUUACUGUUUAUUGAAUAUUGCGUGCCAAAUAUUUUGAUUAUGAGUCGUUAUGAAGAUUGUAUAAGCUCGGAUUCCGAUAGUGAUUCCUAUGUUAGCGGCGACGAAGAACAAUCGGAAGCUACUGGAGGAGCUGGUGUUCUUACUCUCGAGGACGAUGAGGACACUACUCUCAUUCAACAAAAUGAACAAGUUCUAGUUCAAGCAAUGGACGUAUACGGAGAAGAACACGAAGAAGAAACUAUUAAUGAAACAACAAAUGAGAAGGAAGAAAUAACGGAAGAAACAACGGAGGAUGAUGAUAAGCCAAAAAAGAAGAAAAAAAAGAAAAAAAAGUUCUUGUAUAUCUGUCUAACAUCCUGCAAAUACGAUUCUGUUAGAAGAGUCAGUCGAAGAGUGGGCUUUAAAGAGGUGGGAGAAGACGAAGAUUGGAACCUAUACUGGACUGAUCAGUCUGUUGCCUUAGAAAGAGUUAUGGAAAUGAAAAGAUAUCAAAAGAUUAACCAUUUUCCUGGUAUGGCGGAAAUUUGUCGGAAAGAUUUAUUGGCAAGGAAUUUGAAUAGAAUGAUAAAACUAUUCCCGAAAGAGUACAAUGUCUUUCCAAAAUCAUGGUGCUUACCCGCCGAUUAUGGAGAUUUACAAGCUUAUUCAAGGGCUAAGCGGCAUAAAACUUACAUUCUCAAACCUGAAAGCGGUUGUCAAGGCAAGGGAAUUUGGGUUACUAAGAACACCAAAGAAAUUAAAGCUCACGAACACAUGUUAUGCCAAAUAUAUGUAUCUAAGCCAUUUCUAAUCGAUGGCUUCAAGUUUGAUUUGAGAAUUUAUGUCCUAGUAACAUCAUGUGAUCCGUUUAGGAUUUUUGUUUUCAAAGAUGGAUUAGCCCGCUUCGCCACUCAAAAAUAUUUGGAUCCCACUCAUGCCAAUGUCGAUAACGUCUUUAUGCACUUAACAAACUACGCAAUAAACAAGAACAGUAAAGAUUUCAUAAGAGAUGACGAGGCCGGAAGUAAACGACGAAUAACGACUAUUAAUAAAUGGUUUGUCAAGAAUGGUUACGACAUCGAUCAAAUUUGGAGGGAUGUUGACGAUGUAAUAAUAAAGACGCUUGUUUCGGCCUACGGCGUUCUUAAACAUAAUUAUCGAACUUGUUUUCCUAACCAUUUUAAAUCCUCGGCUUGCUUUGAAAUUCUUGGAUUUGAUGUCAUGUUCGAUAAAAAACUUCGACCAUACGUUCUGGAAGUGAAUCAUAGUCCUAGUUUUCAUACAGAUGCCAAAUUGGAUAAAGAAAUAAAGGAAGCUCUCCUGCAUGAUACCAUGGUAUUAAUUAACGUCGGUGCCAUCGAUAAAAAGAAGGUUAUGGAAGAGGAAAGGAAAAAGGUAAAAGAACGACUGCUUCAUAAGGGAUCAAAAAAAGCAACCAGGGAACAAAUGGAUGCGGCCAUAAGUAGUCACUUAGAGCAACUUGAAAAGUUUGAAGACGCUCAUUUAGGUAAUUUUAGAAGAAUUUAUCCUAUGCGGGGUUCGGAAAAGUAUGACAAAUUCUUUCAAACUUCUGGUUCUCUUUAUCAAGAAACUGCUGCCUUUAAAGCUCGCUCUGAAGCUGCGAGAAUUCAAAGGGAAGAAAUUAAAAGAAAACAGGAAAAACUCGACAGUAUUCUCAAAAAGAAGACGAGUGGUCGUGAUCCCUCAGAGCUCCGACCAGAGUCUCCAGGAGGAGGUGCCCGUCCAAAAUUAUUGACCAAAAGAUUAUCUAACCCAGGUACCAAACCAGUGAGAAGAUUUACAAAUGGUACAGUACAAAGAGCAGAAAACAAAGUAAUAUCGAACAAUGAAGUUCUCGUCGAGACCGUUCCAAUUGAUUCAAGUAUACCAGGAGCAAUAGUUGACGAUGAGGAACUAGAGCGUAUAAGUGGCUUAAUGCAAAGGGAUAAUCUCGUUAGAGGUCUGGGAGUGGUGGAGCACGUUUACAGACUACUCCAUGCUACUCCAGGUACGAGUGGAGGUCAUUACCACAGUCAGAAUAAAAAUCAUUCUUCUCAACCAAGGUUACACAGCGUAAGUUUCCAAAAAUUCUUUUUUUAAUUAAGUUGAGCUGUUUCUUUUAUCAAGUGUCCCAGGAUUAUUUUUUUAUAACAUGUCUUAGUCGGUAAAAAUAACCACUCUUAAAAAUUUAUGAAUCAAUUAUCUUGUUCAAUUUUUUGCUUAUGUACCUUUUGCUUAAUUUAUUUGAGAGCAUAUUUUUAUAGCCCAUUUAUAGCAUAUUUUAUAGUUCAAUUAACUUGAUAGUAGUGUAGCAAAACAUUUUGAAGAAAAAUAGUGAUCAUCACUUAUUUUUCUUAUUGGAUAUUAUAAUUCCUAAUCCUAACAGUUCAUUUGACUUUUUUUUAAAUAAAAUUUCAAAAGUUACCUAAAAGAAGAGCCCGCCGCCUCCCUGGACUACAAUUCUUUCGAAAGGACCACCGUAAAGUGGCUCCUCUAGCUCAAGCAAUGAUCGGUCAACCUAAUGGAGAGGAAUCAACUUCUGAUGAUGACAUUGAGGCCAACAUCUCAUCUCAUAGGCCUCUCCCGUAUGCGCAGGUGACGGCACGACAAAAAAAGCACUAUUCCCUGCCACGCCAUCUAGCGCUAUAGCAAUUUGUUUUGUUUUUAGUUACAAAUCAUUUCAGGCUAACUUGAUUGAUAUGUUUGUGAUGUUCCAAUAAUAGCUUAUCACUCCUAAUAAUUAUUAAUAUGUCUCAUCAAAGUGUUUGCAUCUGCAACGAUAAAAUAAUUAAAACAUAAUGAUCUUCUUAAGGCUCUUUCGAUUGAGUGUCAUUAAAUUAAUCAUUUUCGUUGAUUUUGCAGGUGUCAUCUGAUGACGUUUCAAAAAGGAUCGAAGGAACUCUUGGAGGGGGAGGUCGUAUGCUGUACACUACUCAUCAUCAACCUCUAAAACCGAUCCAAAGAGAGAAUAAGAACAAAUCAAUCACCGAUCCUCAAUGGCGUUUAGCCCUGGCGCCUCAAAUGAACGAUUCCAUUCGUUUACGACCAAAAGGAAGAGACAAAGAUUUGGAAAUUCAUAGAAAGACAUCUAGUCAUGGAUCAAGAAAGGAAUCUGGCGUAAGUUCUAAUUGUAAGUAUUAUUUUGAGCGCGUACCAGCUUGAUUUUGUCAACGCUAUAGCUGGAAAAAGUUAUGCCGUUUAUGAUUUCUUUUUGUUAUUAUUUAGUUUACGGAUUAGAAUUCUUCCCUUAUUAUUAGGACUGUAUAAAUAUAAUAUAUAAAAAAGAACAGUUAUUUCUGUUGAACAGCUUACAGACUUAUUUAAUACGGUUUUGUCAAAGAUUAUUGAUUUCUAUUAAAGCCUAGAAUAUUUUGUAUUUAUCUAUCUCUCCCUCAAAGAUAUUCUAUCUGCUAAGGAUUAAUAGAACUCUUUUUGUGAUUUUAGCGAAAACGCCCAGAAUUUCUAGUGGACCGUCAGCACCUGCGAUAACUCAUUCGUUCUUAACUGCAGCUCCUCAUGUGCUCUGCGAUUCUGCAUUGUCGGUCGUCUCGGCUCCCGCGCCGGUAAUGAUGAGACCUGAUCAAGUAACGCCUCCUCCAAUAGACGCUUUUCGUCAGAAGAGGCACGCUAUCAGGCAAAUCGACCAACAAGUCAUCGCUUAUAGGUGAUAGUUACCUCCAGUUUUCUUUCUUAUAGAUUUAUUGUGAUGAUGGACAAAAAAUCCAAGCAACAACAAAACAACAAAAACUCUUUUCCGUCCAGCAUUUUUUCAAAAAUAAUACAGAAAAAAAUCUCUCAAUAAUCUAUACUUCUUUGAUAUAAUAUAAUACUCAUAUUAUAUAAAUUUAUUGUACUGAUAUUUAUACUUUUUUCCCCUGCCAAUCGUUUAUUCUCACUUUUAAUCGAUCUUUUCCUUCUCUCUUCCUCUCUUUUCUCUCUUUUUCUUUCUUUCUUUUCAUGAAAAUCGCAAAUGAAGGCUUUUUUUAUUUUAUUACAAAAAAAACAGAGAAGAAUGACUGAUGACUUUAUACAUCAACUUUACUAAUAAUGCAUGAUUUCUUAUUAGAGAUUCAAUAAACUAUUUAUACUUGUAAAAAU